AAGAGUCUUGGUUCCAGAAAAUGUGAUUAGUAUUGCAUGAUUUAACAGGUAAUAAUGCAUAUUAAAUAAUGUGUGGAAUCCAGAUUGGGAUUAUGGGAUGCUGAGGGGGACUCUAACCUAUUGCCUCCCCUACAGUCAAAAUUUGGAUCGAUCUGGUGAGUGCAGGGUGCAGCUGCUAUUUGCCCGGGGAAAAGCUUCUAUUGCUGCCAAUAGGAGAUUUUUCUUUAACAAAUAGCAGCUAGAGGGAUUCGAUUCCAGUUCAGGACUGUGAGGGAGGCAAAGGGUUAAAGUCCCCACACAUAGCAGUCGAAAUCUAGAUUGGGAUCCUGUGCAGCUUCUAUUUACAUAACAUAAAAAUAAAUCUAAAAUAAAAACUCUGAUGUGGCAACUGCCCAGCUAAUUCAAUAAGAUCUUACUCCAAAAGCAAUGAUGAUGCUAGCAGCAGUAAGAAAUGAAUAAGAGCAAACAUAGUCUUAAAAACCUAUUCUAAUCUAAGAGUGAAUGACUAAAAAUUCUGGGGAGGCAUUUAACAAUCACUACUAAAACCUGCAGGGGAGGUGUGGGAUGACAAUUAGUUUCAAGGCAGGGCUUAUUUCAGUUAAUCAUGACUGCUAUUACAAUGUGAAUACAGCAUUUGUAAAAUACUAUAUUUUACAAUCCUCUUUCUUUACCCAUUUCACAAGAUUUAGUAGUUCAAAAUGUUGCCUUCUGUUUGCACUGUAAGAUCCAGAUCACCUCAUAAGGCAAGGAUUUUGACAAGAGGGACAAUUGCAGCUCUUUAUGCACUCUCUCUCUCUCUCUCUCUCUCUCUCUCACCCACACACACGCAUAGAACAUGAAGUGAUAUUAUUCCUAUAUAAAUGAAUUCUGCAACACUGGAUUUUAUAUCAGAACACCCCUUCUUGAUAAUGUACUGCUUUGGGUAUUAUAACAGUUCAUGCAGAAAGUACUGGAUUAACUCUACCAUAUCCAUAGUGAAUACAAAUGUGCCCAGAAUACUAUUAUCAGAAAUUAUGGAUGUACAUACAGUAUUUUUUCCUGAGCUAUUUCCCACAGAACAAGUUAUAAGCAUCAGAGACAUAAAUUGUCUGAAAAUAAUCCUACAUGAAGUAUAGUUAACAAGUCUGAGCAAUAUUGGUUACAUUAAUGGUUUAAAUCAGUCUGAGCUAAGCUCUUCCUACUGAGGUUUAUAUCAUAUUCUUUUUCUAUUUCCAUUGCCUAUUUUUCUAUUUUCAUUUAAACUUCAUUCUGUUCCUGAGAUUGACAGCCUCCUCCUCCUCUGUAUUAUAUUUUCUCUUUGUUAUGGUGCUCUUGGCCUUAUUAAUCUAUAUUUUAUUUUGACCUGCUUUUCAAAUGCUAGGUAAGAGCUGUGAUAUUUGUUUUGGCUAUCAAAACAGAAAAGUUCCAAAGACUCUCUUAGAAUGUUAUGCAUGGAUUUGCCUAACUUUUCAAGAGUAGGCCAAUAGGACUGCCUUUCAUUCUAUUUUUCUAUUCUUGUAAUUUUCUCCUCAGCCUAUGGCUUUCCCAAGAAAUAUUCUGAGAGCUGUUUAAUUAUUUCUAUAUUUGUGGAGCCUGGAGAUAUUGGAGUGGGUAGUGAAAAUAUCUAUUAGAUAUCAAACACACAUUGGCGUAUAAAUGCCAGACUACUGUCAGAUUAUACUGAUGAACUCUGAGAAACACCAUUAUAAAUUCACUCCUGGUUUAUGUAGUUAUGUAACAUGGGUUCCAUACUGCAUAACAGAAUAAAAACACGAACCCUGACAUUAAAACAUUUAAAUUCCAUGAAGUCAACUGACUUUUUUAAAAUGUACGUUCUAGUUCCAAAUCUCUUCCAAUAACAAAAUGCCAAUUAGGUUGUAGACAUAUUGCUGAAGUUCUCUUUGGAAUGGAGUAGCUAAAGUCUUCUCAGAGUUGGGGAAACUAAGCUUGCUUCAUUUGCUUCUGCAUUUGAAGAAAGAAAGUUUAUCUUCCUGUCAAAAGUUAUUUUUUGUUCAUUUAUAGCCUUUGUCUAAUAAAGUGGAAGUCUCAAAUCCCAUAGGCUUCAAAUAGCACAGAGUAGAGAGCAGAACCGCCUGACAAUUGUAAUACAAAGGCAUAAUACAUUUUAUUUUUACAAACAGAAUCAGGUAUUAGAUUAGUGUUACACCCUACUAAGUUGCAAAAAUAUAUCUCAGAUUCAAUUCACACUUGCCCAGCCAUGGCUGAUCAUGCAAAAAACUACAAUGCCCUUAUGUUUAUAAGGCUCGUGGUGUUUGCUCCCUAUUAGAGGUGUGCACAGACUGGUAAUGGUGGUUCAGUCCAAAUUCAGACUGAACUGACGCUCUGUGAAACAGUUCAGCCAAAGUGACUGGCCUGGCCAGUUGAAAUGAAGGACCAGCUCAAACUGUUUCGAGGCAGUUCACGACUGAACUGGUCUGAACUGGCCUGAUGCACAGUGGUUCUGGUUCGAUUGCAAACUGGUUUGGCACAUCCCUACUCCCUAUGGGACUAUAUACAUAAAGCUCUCAAAUAUGUAAAUCAGCAUUUUAAAAAAAUCACACCAAAUCAUGAAAUCAACCAAAAACUGUAUGAAUUAUGAGAACUUGUCUGCUUCUCUUCCCAGUUCUCCAGGUUGUGUCUAGAUCUUAGUAUGAGCUAGGGAUGCCCUCCAGGAUUCAGCAGUCUGUCAUGGAACUUAUUUUAAUGUCACUAACAAAUGACUCAAUUAAAAUUAAGUUCUGGACAGUGGCCAUGAGCUAUUUGACUCACCAAAUAUUUCCUGGCCAGUGAUAUGGCCAUCUUGCCUUUGGAUGCAACUUGAGAAUUUAUGUAUUGUAGCAUAUUCCACUUUAGCUGUCACUGGAAUAUCUUUGGGUAUCUCCCUGCCCAUGAUUUGCUGUGGCAUAAACUUCAUACAUUUCAAAACACAGGUGGGAUUAUAUCAACAUUUUGGUGAACAUGGUAUUUGGCUCAGCCAUGAGAGAGUCACUUCAAAGGACAUACCUGAGAUUUGAAACACCUGACUUCUCAUCAGUGCUCUGUAACUAAUACCAUGUUAAGCCUUGUUCUCACGGCCAAACUACACAUUAUGCCAUCGGUACUUGCAUGUUUGUUUUCCUAAAUAGCAGCUGCGUGGGGACUUGGCACUGGGGGAGGGUGCUUUUACGUCAUUGGCCAUUAAUCAUAUGCUACAGUUCACUGACAUGCUUGAAAUAAUGUGUAGUUAUGUCAAGCAUUUUUUCCUAAAUAGGAGCUCUGAGUGUGUGUGAUGGGGAGGCAACUCUUAUGAUGACCAUGGAAGAGGAGAGAGUUAAUACUUUGCUCCUGUCACGGUCUAAAUCCUGAUUGGUCCCCUCUGUUUGCCCUGGGAGGAAAGGUGCCAUUGGUGCCAAGGGGAUCAAUCCCUGGUGGAGCCCCUGGUGGCGCAGUGGUAAAACUGCCGCCCUGUAACCAGAAGGUUACAAGUUCAAUCUUGACCAGGGGCUCAAGGUUGACUCAGCCUUCCAUCCUUCUGAGGUCGGUAAAAUGAGUACCCAGAAUGUUGGGGGCAAUAUGCUAAAAUCAUUGUAAACCGCUUAGAGAGCUCCGGCUAUAGAGCGGUCUAUAAAUGUAAGUGCUAUUGCUAUUGCUAAUCAGGAUUGGGGCCACAGCAGGGGCAAGGGUUAAAGCUCUCCCCCCACUAUGGCUGUCACUCAGGUUGAGAAAAAAUGCUUGAUAUAACUACAUAGUAUGCCAAGCAUAUCAAGAAACUAGCAUAUUACUAAGGGCCAAUGACAUGAAAGCCCUGCCCUCAAUGCCAUGGUCCCAGUCCUGGCCAGGUCCUCAUGCUGCUGCUAUUUUGGAAGGUGGGGGAAGCAUGCAAGGACCAAUGAUGUGCUUAACAUAACAUGUAGUUUGGCCUCACUGAAGUGGUCAAAGGUAAAACUGUGUGUGGGGUGGUCCUCAAAUGAUGGAGGAAAAGGUAGGGAGCCCUUAAUAAAAUUCACAAGCCUCCUAGGGCAAACAGAGGUGACCAAUCAGGAGAGGACCAAUCAGGAGAGGAUCAAUCAGCUCCCUGACUCCAUUUUAGCCAAACCAUGGUCCCCUUUCAGCCUUCUAUAUGGGCAGCGCAAAAGAUAAGGCCACCUAUAUGGGUGGCCCAAAAAAUAAGGGGGGCACCCCUCUGUAAUUCAAGCACUGGGCUGCAGACUGCAGGUAGGGGCUCACAGGACUGAUUGUUCCACCAUACCAACAACAAAUAUUUAGAUACCACUUUUCAACAAAAGUUUCCAAAGCAGUUUACAUAGAGAAAUAUUAAAUAAGUAAGAUAACCAAAAAAAUCCCACUGUGCAUACAAAGCUAGAUGUCAAAGUGAAGGGCUGUAGCCCAGGCUUCUAGUGUUUAUUUUGUGUGCAUGAGAACAUUCCAUUAUGUCAGACAUGUCAGCUCCUUUCUGCAGUCUGAAGUGCUGAAGCCCAGACACCAGCUGCUCACCUUAGUGGGAACUAGGCCAUACCUACACUGAAUAAUAUUCUGAACAAUUGCGCCCUGUAUUGCCAAAGAGGAAGUCAACCUCUGAGUCAAACUGUACUUUAAUAGAAACUGGGAUAGGUGUUCCCAUCUAUGAGCUGUUGAGAACUGUACUGUAUUAAAUACAGUCCACCUAAACAAGAACAAGGUUGUAAUUACUGUGUCUCUCUCUAAGCUGCAAUGAUUUAUUUGAAUUGCUCCUUGCAAGGUCAGCAAUGAAAAUAAUUGUGCUAAUGAUUUACCGUACUGAGAAUUUGUAACACAAGUAUGAAGCCGUCUGCUUCAGCCAAUGAGAAACAGAGCUGAGGCAGUAUAAACAAGUCCUGGGUACAAGUAAUUUUCAUGAAGCAGAAGAAUCAGCAUAUUCUGAUGGGUGAAGUUGCCAAUGAGACAUGGAAGUGGUAGAUGAACUUCUGUCAAUGAAAGAUAGCUUUAAAAAAUCCCAAUCAAAUAUUAUGAGAGACCCAGAAAACAAGCUGGAAGUCUGGGCCAGAACCGGUGUUAGAAAGCAGGUAUCUCCAAUGAACUGUAGUCUCAUAAAUGAACUAACAACAUUUUGGAAGAUUCAGAAUAGACAGGAAAAUAAAAUAGGAGGUGAUGAAAUAUUCAUAGUCUUAUAUUUUAUGGACCUCCCAAACUACUUCCAUGAUUUACACAAGUUUAUUUUUUGCAUGCAGUAGUCAAGGAAGUGCAGCAAAAUAAUGAUAACUAUAUUAGAAUGCUACCGUUUCGGUAUGUCAUAGAGAAAGGAGGCUUCAUCAAUAAUAGGGAUACCGCAGGCAAGCCACCCUGAGCUGGGCAUUUCAUCAAAGAUAUAAGGAAAUGGCAAAGUUGAGCAAUAAUUACCCAAGUGACAAUGGCCAUUGUUUGUCAGCAUCUUGUGCUUAUUCUGAAGGUUCUUCUGUCAAUGAUAUCUGCCAGAGUGACAUCUGCGGGGUGGGGAACUUUGUAGGCAAAGCAGUAGAUGUGACAGUUAAAGAAGGGUCCAGGGUAUAACAUGUUUGGAGCAGCAGAUGAGUAUUUUAAAUUAAUCUUAAAAUUAUUAAAACAUGCCUCUCCUACACUGCAUAUUUACUGCUAGCGAUUAAUUUAUGGUCACUUGAAGAAUGCAUUGAAGUGUAAUCAUGCAUCUUCAUGGAUAUUUCACUGCUUUAAUUGCUUGGCUGAUCUUUCACCUUAAAGAGAGUGGCUUGCUAGAAAAAAAGAUGUGACAGUGUAAUGGGAAAUAAUGUGCACUGGCUUUGCUAUAUUUCUCUCCGGGGAUUUCAGAUGUUACAACAUGUGGUGAAAAGUAAAUGUACAAGAUUGCUUGGGCUUCUGCUUUCCAUUGUGUAUUGUCACAUUAAAAAAAAUAAAAAUGGAACUCAUGCAUGUGUGCAGAGCUCACAAAUGUCCCUGCAGGAGAGAAGCAAAUUAAUUUUUGGACAUGGCAACAGGUGGUGGAAAGCAAUGAUGGACAAAAUCCCCGAGGCUUGAUUUGGAAUCAGCUUGGGAUUUAUGAACUUUCUCGGGAAAAUCACAUCUGUUUUCUAAGAGUUCUCUUUUGUCUUUCAGUGUUGACAUAUCCGUACCAAUGAUGCUGCAUACAUGUGCAUUAUCAUAUCACUCCCGGGAAUUGCAGUUUAUGUGGGGUAGUGGUUAAAGUGUUCAACUAGAACCAGGGAGACCUGGGUUCAAAUCCUCAUUCAGCUAUGAAACUCACUGGGUGACUCUGGGCCAGUCACUUAUCUCUCAGCCUAAGCUACCUUACAAGGCUGUUGUGAGAAUAAACAUACCCAUGUACACUGCUCUGGGUUCCUUGGAAGAAGAAUGGAAUAUAAAUGUUAAAAUAAAGUAAAUAAAUCUGCCCUGCACCUACCCCUUAGCUCCAGCCAUAGCAAAGAGCUGCCUGGAAAUUCAAAAAUUUGUGGUGAUAACCCACCCACCCAUCACCCAGCUGGCUGUCUCAGAUGGUGCAUGCACCUACCUGUGGGGUGGGGGGUGCUGGUGAGUGGCACACAUGAGCCAAGCCAUCAGCACCCCUCCCCACUUGGAGCCCUAGGCAGCCACAUCAUUUUAGAAAACAAGCAAUAUGAAGGGGCUAAGAUGAAGAUACAUGAAACAAAGAGGAUGGAGGGUGAAAGCAGAGAGUUUGACAAUGUUUAAAUAUUGAAGAUGUCAGAACUGUUUCACCACAUUUAUUGAGAAUGGGAUGUAGAGAAGCAAUGGAUUUAAGUUACAAGAAGAAAUAUUUAGAUUGUGGGGAGGGGGGGGGGAGUCCUCCCAAAAGAGAAGUUUUCAAAGGAAAAUUGGACAAACACCAACCAUAGAUGCUUCAGGCAUAUCAGAAUGUUGCCCUAGUGCAGAAGGUUGUACAAGAAGACCUGGGAGUUAUUAUCUCUUCUCUCUGUGAUUAUAAUUCUGUGUGUAUGUGUGUGUGUGUGUGUGUGUGUGUAUCCCUGCUUUAUCUAUAGGAGCUCAAAAUGGCUUUCUGAAAUGUUUGAGCUAAAAGACUUUUCAUUUCCAGAAACUUUGUCAGCCAGUGAGUUGAUACUCUUUGUAAUGCCCUUGAAAGAAAUAAAAUUAUUAGUCAUUGCCGGUGAUUAGGAGGCAUCUGUCAUGUACAAUAACAUGCUGUAACAAUGCUUUAGUUUCUGUAGUGCUUUCUGUCUGAGGAUGCCAAUGUACUUUAAAAAGCAGCAAACAAAUGAAUUGUGUGGGUGGUGAAGAAUAAGGGGGGAAAUGAGGCAGGGUGACUUAUGAAAAUGGAUGCAAACAGGCUGUGGUACAGUGCCUAGAAGUAUGCUGGGACAUAUCACGCGUACCACCCAAAAGUUAUGCUGCCUUAGUUGUCCCAUUUCUCCAAGUGGUGACACAUCUCUGUAUUAUUUGUAGGGGUGUGCAUUUUGGAAUUUUCUUGUUUUGAUUUCUAUCCGAAUCGAAACAUCCCCGUUUUGUUUUGUACCCAAAUUUUCUGAAUCCGAAUCAGCCCUGUUUUGUUUUGUAGCCAAAUUUUCCAAAUCCGAAUCCGAAUCGAUUUGGAUUUUUAAAAAGGGUCCCAGGGCAAAAAGAGUGGGUGGUGGUGGUAGUGUCCAAUGGGUGGAAGCUACAACCCAAAUUUCAAAGGAAUUAGGCAAAGGGCUGAUUUUUUUGGGUUAAUUUUUUUUAAAAGUUUACAAAUCUUUAAGAAUUUUCCCAUAGGGAAUAAUGGGGAUUCCAGCAAAUGUAUCGCUUCAAAUCAAGGGGAAAGGGAUGACCCAGAGCAGACUGUGGUGGGUGGUAGUGCCCAAUGGGGGCAAGGAAACUUCCAGAAUUAUUUCAAAGGAAUUGGGCAAAGGGCUGAUCUUUUGUGGUUUGUUGAAGUUUAGGUGUCUUUAAGAUUUCUCCCAUAGGGAAUAAUGGAGGUUUCAGCAGCCCCAUAAUUCCACUUGGGGGGGCACUGGGGUUGCCCAGAGCGAGGGGUUGUGUAGUGCACAUAGGGUGCCAACCACCCCCAUACCCACAAGCCUGUGGGGUACUGGGUUUUGUUGUUUCUGAGGUGUUCAUUGUAGAUUCUCUGGUAGCAUAUGAGAUUUUCAGUGAAAAACAAGAAUCCACUCUCAUAUGCUACCAGAGAAUCUACACUCAGAACACCACAGAAACAGCAGAACCCAGCACCCCAUGGGUUAGCAACCCUUCCCCUGGCCAAUGUGGGGUCAGUAAAGAGUGGGAAAAAGCAAAAGAGCCAAUGGGGAACAAGGAGGGAAUUGUCAGCCGGUCAGCCCAUGAUUUAGGUCAUUGAUCAGAAGGCUGGAAGGGUGGGAAAUUCAAAGAGAUGUCAAACACAAAAUGGAGACUGACUCAGAGAUCACCACAAAAUGGAGGUCCGAAACAACAAAACGUUUUGUAGCCGAAACAGGGACGUUUUGUUUUGUAUACAAAACUUUUGGAUCUGGAAAAUGGGUGUUUUGUUUUGUCUGCAAAACACCCGAAACAGGCUGUUUUGGUUUAGUAUCCGAAACAUUUCGCACAUCCCUAAUUAUUUGGUUUAUUAACUGAAAUAUAGAGGUUGAACAAUGGAUGAAGGCAACGGAGCAUUCCCACAAGUCAGGUAGCUCAGCCCUCUUAUUAUCUGAGAUGACUCAGCCCUCUCAUCCAUAAUCCAGGCUACUUUCAAAUAUUUUCUUUCUCAUUGGCCACAUUCUCACUUAACAUAGAACUGAGGGUCCAAUGGACCUGCGGUUCCACCCUCCCCUGCAUUCUAACGUGUCCAUGUUUGGAUGAAAGUGCCAGGACCCAAACUGCAGCUGGGGAGACUACAGAAAGGAGGGAAACAAGCUGCUGGGCUUCCUCCAUUGCAAGAAGGACAGUCGCGGCAGCCACUCGGAAUGGAGAGAGGGAGGAGCUUCCUUACCUCAUAGGAACAUAGGAAACUGCCAUAUACAGAGUCAGACCAUUGGUCUGUCUAGCUCAGUAUUGUCUUCACAGACUGGCAGCGGCUUCUCCAAGGUUGCAGGCAGGAAUCUCUCUCAGCCCUAUCUUGGAGAAUCCAGGGAGGGAACUUGAAACCUUCUGCUCUUCCCAGAGCGGCUUCAUCCCCUGAGGGGAAUAUCUUGCAGUGCUCACACAUCAAGUCUCCCAUUCAUAUGCAACCAGGGCAGACCCUGCUUAGCUAUGGGGACAAGUCAUGCUUGCUACCACAAGACCAGCUCUCCUCUCCUGGUCUCAGAGAAGGCUGCCUCCAGUUCAGCGUUCGGAAGUAAUGACCCCAAACUCAAACCUCAGCCCUGUGAUUCUAUACUGUGACUGAAUGACUUCAGUGCAUCAGAAUAUGAAUAUGGAUUUGGACUGUGUGAGGCUCAGAAAUAUGGAAGCUACAAGAAAGAUACAUCAAUAGUCUGCUCUAGACAUGUUUUGUUUUGUUUCACAGACUACAAUUAUGCCAUUGAGACGGCUUAAUUUGAAGCACCUGAGAGAACCUGGCUAAAGUGAUUGAAGCCUAUUCAUUUAAACAAAACUUUCUGCAAUAUUCUCUUCCUGGAGGAAAACAUAAUAAGAUUGUAUUUCAUGUGUUAAAAAUGCUGGCAUAUCACAAGCAAUAAAUAAAUUAAUUCUUACAGUGAA